UACAGAGGGUGCAAGCGUUAAUCGGAAUUACUGGGCGUAAAGCGCGCGUAGGUGGUUCGUUAAGUUGGAUGUGAAAUCCCCGGGCUCAACCUGGGAACUGCAUCCAAAACUGGCGAGCUAGAGUAGGGCAGAGGGUGGUGGAAUUUCCUGUGUAGCGGUGAAAUGCGUAGAUAUAGGAAGGAACACCAGUGGCGAAGGCGACCACCUGGGCUCAUACUGACACUGAGGUGCGAAAGCGUGGGGAGCAAAC
rnacentral:rRNA from 1 species